ensembl:lncRNA
GGAAGCCUGUGUGCCUGAAGGUGCCGCGCAGGUGGCCCUAGCGCGCAGCUGCCUGCCGUCGGCAGCCCAGGCGUGCCCGCGCUGCCGGAGCAGGCCGCSGUGAGGGGGGAGCGCCUCGAACCCCUUCCCCACGUCCCUUCGCCAGGGCUCGGGAUUUACGGUGUUCGAGAUGGGCCUGGGAAGAGACGUUGCUACAGAGAGGAGAGAUAGUGUUUGGUUUCAGACACGGGCAGAUCUGACUUAAUUUCCCAAUCCUGCGUUGUAUUUCCUGUGUGAUCUUUUGGGUUCUUCACCAGCUCACUGACUCUGUGUUCCCUGCUUUUGUCCGUAGAAAUCUUUCACGGAGGGGCUGGGAGCUCUGCCUGUCAGUACGUAACAAGAUGUCCAUGUUGCAAAGGUGAGGCCAUGGGAGAUGCAGCGUGUACUGAAAACGCAACCAGACCCUGCUCCUCCUUCAGAUCGUCCUUAGAAAUCCCGUGGAACCAAGGCACGCCAGCAAGGCCUCCUUUGUCAGGAUCCGAGCUGCUACAGGACACCAACUGAACUAAUCCAAAGAGAAACCCCUGCAGUGGUUUUACGAUGAACUGAGCUUUUCACUCAUCGAGACUCUUCCCCUCUUCGGCAGCAUUUGUUAUGGUGAGUUUUGUGGGAAGGAURCUUGUCUC